GGUUAAACUAACUAAAAGAGAAACUCGAAAACAAAGCUAUGAGCAUGACUACAGAGUCUCUAGGCAUCCCCUUCGUCGUCCUCCUACGGAACGGGCUCGGGAACCAUGUCUUCCUGAUCUGAAAUGGUUAAAUAAGGAGUGAGCUACACUAGCCCAGUAAGAACAUCACGAUAUCUCACCGUCACAGAGGUAAAGGUGGGUAGAAAACACAAAAAGACCAAUGGAGCAUAAUUUACAACAAACUCGCUUAUUAACAUAAAAACCUUUUCCAUCCACUUACCUCGGUGGAAUUUAUGAAAACAAUAUAAGAAAAACAAUAACAUUAUCAUAAUCAUGGAAUAAUAUAAGCUGUAAAACAUAACACUUAUCACGCCUCUUGUAAUUCAAUCAUUGUA
rnacentral:lncRNA from 1 species